rnacentral:pre_miRNA from 1 species
AGCAGGUUAUUACUUUGUUGAUGAGUCCAAAAAUAAUGUUCAUCAACCGGAAUAACACGCUCA